UCCUGACUUAACCGACUGGCUGCUGUGACUAGAGGGCGGCUGGGCUUACCCGUGGCUGCUGGUGCCGGGACCGGCUGCUCCCCGCAGAGGAGGAUGCUGGUGCUCAACAAGCUGGUCCUGGCCAUGCUCGGUCAGCGAUUCAGCAGCCAAGCCCACCCCAUUCACCCUGGCCCACCUCUGGAAGGAUUUUUCUGCAUGGAGCUACACUGAGUCUCUGCAGGUGUCCUGAGCCUCCCCUGUGGGGAAAGCAGCCAGGGCUGGGUCUGCAUCCACAGCCAGGUCUACCUUCCACCUUCAGACUCCGAACAGUCUUCUCUGCAGUGCAGGUAGAGUGUGCAGACACAUGCCUUCCUCCACUGCCUCAGAGACCAGCAGCUCUGCUAUCUCCACCUGAGACAUCUUCCCUGAGAUCUUCUUGACUGAGACCUCCUCAGGAGCUGGAAGCUAGUGUCAGCACCUAGGACCAUAGCAACUGUAGAGGGGGAGGAUCUCCAUGCCAAACCUCUGCUACACAACCCCCAUCUACGUGUGCAAGUGACACAGUUACCCUUGGUGUGCCAGAGGUUGGUCCUGACUGGCACCCCCAGACUGUGACCUUCUGAACUACGCUCAGAGCGGCUGGGUGGACCCUGCAGCAGUUGGCCAGUGCAUGGGGUUCUCCACCACAUGCAUCCAUCAUGUGACCCAGAAGGCAAGGGCAGACUUGACUCAUGCUUCUCUUGCUUUCCUCAAACAAGCAUUGCAGGAGGGUGCUUUCCACCCACCCCUCACCCUCUGAAACAUGCCAUCAGGCCCAUGCCCCAUAAGGCCCCCAGCACACCAUAUGAGCUGGCUGCACAAUAUGCAGCCGUUCUACCUCCAAACCAGGCCCAGAAAGCAUCUGUGCAUGCUCAUGCUUCACAUCAUCCAUUUCCUUGCCUUCAUGUCCUGCCCUGACACCAGGUUCUGCCAUGUAUAGAUAGUGAGGAACCUAGCAGACCAGCCUGUAUUCCACAGCUCACUGAGGAUAUUUGUUGGUGGCUCCUCCACAGAGCUAUGAGCAUGGGCAUGUAACCUGGCACAGUCCAUGAAGUCGUCUGACUCCUGUCCUUUUUGUGAUGAGAGGUAGAUCCUGGCGCAUAUCUGUGUAGAAUGCAUUAGGUUACAGCCCUUCUUCUGGCUCCUUCAAAACCUUUUACUGGGAUCCUUGCUGCACUUCUCCCCACAUCUCCUGAUCUACACCCACCUGGUCCAUGGCCCCACAAAGUCACGGGAGCACCUCAUCAACUUCCUCCUGGUGCUGGCCAAGAUGCCAUCCAUCAUACUCAGAGAAGGAAGCUGGAUGGGGGAGUGGCUGGUGACUGUAGGGUUUAUUUCCAUUCCCUUGUUGGGUCAGGUCUCCAAGCAGUUUCUGUAGGUGGUGUCCAUGUACACCUUAAAUGCCUUUGAGGAGCAGUGGGUGUUGUCAGGGGGAUCUCUGCUUAGUGUCCUCCUCUAGAUCCCUUUAUUUUUUAUCUUUGACCUCCCCUCCAUUAGUCAGGGUGUCUCCCUCCCCAUUUGUUGUUCCCAGAAAUAAUUUGUGGUCUAGUUUAAGGGGUAGGCCUAGGCCUACCUGCCCGAGUACUACAAAUAGUACUAGCGCUUCAACCCACCAAUGACUAGAUAUUUAGCUAACGAUUAAAGCACCAUUUAACUUCAGCUGGAGAUUUGUGGUUGCGGACCGGAGUCAGAUGAAGGGCAACACUUGAGCUGUACCUGGAAUAAAACACUGCAAUGAAGACAAGUUGUAGAACCUCUCUGAAGUGAGGAAACCUCCCUUCCAUGCUAGUGAGAGCUGGUGGAGUUUGGGGUUGGGCUAGGAUUGUUUUUCUUUUGAAGAGUGAUCUCACCGUAGAGUGAACUAACUUUUAUCUCGGGGCACACACAGAAAUGGCCCUAGAACAUCAGCAGGAAGUGGGCUGAGCAGGGGCAUCAGUUUCUGAGAAUUUAAACUGUCACUCAAAAAAACCCUCUGAAUGUGAACCAUACAGUGUGUCUUCCUGAGUCAGAAGAUUGACUCAAAUUAUAAUUCAUAUAUUUCUUAGAUCUAUUUUCUAUUCAUCUCAGUCACAUGUUGACUCUGGAGCCUACUUCUUGUGUAACUAUUUCAUGUCAUAUAUUAACAGAAACAUCCAGCUAUUCCAGGACUGUGUAUAGAGUUUGUUGAUUUUGGAAAGAGCUCAGUUAGAACAAACACACACUUCCACUCUGUCCAACCCCGCCAAAUUGAUUUCUGGGCAUGGGUUUACACCACAGCAGGAACUAAUGCAGUUUAUUUCUGAUAAGUACAGUAAUGUAGUUACACACAGGGAAAACAAUCCUUCCUGCCCCGCAAGCGGAGCUAUAAAUGGAAAGAUAACUAAAUAGAGGCCAAAGAUCAUUCUCCCUUCUCCCCCAACCCCCAAGGAAAUAUUUGUGUUUUAAAACACUCUCAGACAUGAGACUACUUAUUUUGUCUUUAGCUAGUGGGCGGAAAGAGUUGCGUCAUUGUGAUGCUACUUCCUGACAUUGCAUCAGCCCAUGAUAAGGUCUUGUCCUUGCCUAGUGGUGCAACAUCCUAUUAGGAGCCAAGAGGUCAUGUGCUGGCAUUGCAGGGGAGCCCUAAAUAAACUGAAGACUUGUAGCUGACCUAAGUGGGCAGACCCGUGAAAUCUAGGACUUUUCUUUUGAAGUCCUAAGCAGCCUGCAAUAUUUAUUGAGAAGGAGCUCAGAAUAAUCUCACCUCCCAGAACCUUUUUACAGUUGUGCAGAUUAUUAUAUAUUAGGACAAGGGUUGGUUUUUUGGAAAUGUUGAGUGCACACAGCUCAUAUUGAAGUUAAUGGCACUCUCAGUGUCCCUUCAAAUCAGGCCUUUAAACUCUGCAGUUAAACUAGGUGGGAAGUUAGGGCAAUAUCACUUUUCAAAUAGACAUUAAAGGCCUGAUUCUUCACUGCCUUGCUUAAUUCACCUCCAUGCAGAGGACACCCAACCUGAUAUGGCAACUAUUUACAUGCACUUUGCACAAGAAAAGUUGACUACACAAAGUCCAAGGCUCUGGAGCAUCAGGCCUUAAGUGCAUUUCUUGCUAUUGAUAUUUAGCCCUUACCUCUUCAAAGGGCUGUGCAAACAUUACCUAACCAACAAUUAACCCUCACCAUACUCCAGGAAGUAUUGUCAGUUUACAGAAGGAGACAUUAAGGUUAAGUGACUUUCCCAAUACUACACAGUAAGCCAGUGGAAAGGCAGGAUUAGAACUCACAGCUGCCACUCAGCCAUGCUGUGUCUUUCUCAUCAUAUAGAACAGUAAAGAGUGGAUGGUAAAUUGUCAUGAGAGAAUAUUUCAUUGCUAGAUGAUAAAACUGCCACAUACACACCCAGGGUCUUACUUCAUUUCACCUACCUUAUGUAGAAACUCCACCAGCUGCUACUAGGUCAGGUCUAGAACAGCAUUAAGGGAGAGCUGCCUACUAGUCAGCUCCUUCUCUUUUAUGUGCUGCCUCCUGGCUUCUCCUCUCAUAUACACUGCAGGAGUCAAGCUCUACUCCUGUAGAGUGACAAAGCACAAAGAAAAGAAGGCCAUUACCAGUUAACCAGCAGCAGUAGCUCUUCCUUAAAUUGGAAGAAGGGGCAGGAGCCAUGGUUUGUUGCAUGUCCAACCCCUGCUCAACCGGGGAUAGGCUGAGUACAACAAUACAAGUGUGUUGCAACUGAUUGGUUACACAGACUAGCGUUAAACUAGUGUCAUUCUCAUGUGGGAACACUGUUAAAUCAAUUUGGGUGUGGCUAAAAUUGAUGUAAUUUACUUAAUUUAAGGGCCUUAAAUUAAGGGAUUUAAUUACAUUGAUUUAGUAACUGAUUUAGUUGAAUCUGCAAUUUCUAUGUGUAGACCAACCCUAAAACAAUCAACAGUGAAAAAAUUAGCCAUGUUGGCAUUCACCAUUCCAGCAUCAGGUUUCUGAGUUAACACUCCAUUGUGAUGAAUGAGAUCAGUUCACACUUCUUUCAGACCUAUUGUUAUAUCUGUUCUAAGCAGAGAAACUCAGUAGUGUCUCAUUUCUCUAGCUCCCCCAUUCCCUCUCCACUUCCCUUGGGGUCCAAGAGGAGAAGUGAGGGAAAGAAGAAAAGUGGCUGACACUAGCUAAAUUAUUAACCUCUGAAUGGGGAUUAUAUGAAAAAUACCUUGUUUUCAGGGUCUAUAUUAUUUUUUGGCUAUUGAUUCAAUAUAGCAUUAUUGUAGCUAGAAAUUACUGCAUUUAAAAAAAUGAAAAUUGGUUCUUUGAAGGAAUUCAAGAGUUGGAGGGGUGGGGGGGUUCCAUUUCUUUUGGAAUUUUUUCAACCCAACAAAAUGUUUUGAUAAGCAUAGAAAGUUUUCAUUGUGUGUAUUUCUUGAAAUUAUUUUUCCUCACUUUCCAGUGGGAGAAAUUUUUUUAAAAAAACAAAACUUCCAUGAAACAAAAAUGUGAUUGGAAAUUAAAUGACAUAUUUUGUUUUAGUCAAAAAUUCCAUGAAAAACUUCAGAUAAAAUGAAUUUUUAUCUCAUUCAAACUUUUUCCACAGAAUAUACUUACCUUAUUUGGCCAGUCGAAUUGUGGCCCAUCAACUUUUAUUGAGGAUAUUGCUGUUGUUAUAGAUCAGUAAUGAGGAGGGAGAGGAGAAAAGAGUGUACACAAAGGUGUCAAGUAAAGUGCUUGUUAUUACUUAAUGCAAAUCUAAGUUUAAAUUUGCUCAUGAAGACGGUUUAAUGUGUUUGAUCUGUAUUCCCACCGUUUUUGUGGUUUUGUAUUUAAUUCUACGAUUUAUGUGUACUGAAAAUCCUCUUGUGUGUCAGGAGUCAGACGUGGGAGGUAGGAGGUGGAAAUAUUGUACUUAAAUGCCAAACUCUUCUCACAAUCCCAGAGUAGUUGAGUGUUUCUGCUAAAGUUAUCAUCAGUGGAAUAGUUAACAAAAUUGACAUUUAAAUUCUCCCAACUACAUUUCAGAUUUAACAUCCUAUUGAGAUGAUUGAAGCUGUUCAAACCUUUUAUACCCCCUUUCAGCAAAUAACAGAAUGUGCUUAAAGUUAAAUAUAUGCUUAAGUACUUUCUUGAAUUGAGGCCUAAAAACUGUUGAGUCCUUCUAUCUGCAGACUCAGGGGGGUUGUUUAAACUUUUAUUUUUUUCAACAUAUUUAGUUAAUAUGUAUGACGGUAAGGUCUGAUUGUGAUAAUGAAAAUGGAAUAGUUUGGAAGAGUCUGCAUAGACUCUCAGCUCUCCCUAGAUAUGCCAGAGGUAAUUUUUACCACCCAGUUGUGUUUUCUUGCAAUUAGAAAAUUACAUAAUUUUACACUGA